UACGUAGGUGGCAAGCGUUGUCCGGAAUUAUUGGGCGUAAAGCGCGCGCAGGCGGUCCUUUAAGUCUGAUGUGAAAGCCCACGGCUCAACCGUGGAGGGUCAUUGGAAACUGGGGGACUUGAGUGCAGAAGAGGAAAGUGGAAUUCCACGUGUAGCGGUGAAAUGCGUAGAGAUGUGGAGGAACACCAGUGGCGAAGGCGACUUUCUGGUCUGUAACUGACGCUGAGGCGCGAAAGCGUGGGGAGCAAACAGGAUUAGAAACC
rnacentral:rRNA from 1 species